CUCAUUAAUGAUAUUGACAUAUGAUUAAAGCAUAUGAAAAAGCUUUAAGCAAAACAGGAAUAUCAUAAAUGAAGUAGAAAUUAUAAAUUAUUCAAAUUGAAUCAAUUCUAGUGAAAUUGAUGGGAAAGUUUGUAAAUGAAAAGGAAAGAAAGAAAGAAAAAAUAAAAUGGUAUUUUCAUGUAGUCACAAAAAAUCUAGUGAGGAAAAACUUUAAAUAGUACUGAUAAAAAUCACUGGGUUUUGUCUCUAACUUUUCAUUCUGUUAAUGUAAUAUUCCAUGGGUUGAAUAUUAAUCUGUUUUACAAAACAUUCAUAUUUAGACAUUAGGUUGUUUAUUUCUUCUAAAUGCAGAAGAUAUUUUACAUUGGAAUUGUGUUAUUUCCAGGUUAUCUUGGCUACCUAUCUGACAGGAAGUGGUUUCCCAGAUAUAUUCUGAUUUUGACCAGGUAUUUAAAGAGACACAGUUGUUUAACUCUUAAAUUUAUUUUUUCUACAAAAUUAGAAUCAGGAUUUUAGAGCUGAAAAGGAUCACAGAAAUCUUGUAGGCUGUCACCUCAUUAUGCGAAGGCCAAAUGUGAAUUUAAUUUAAAUGGCUAAGUUAGGAUGUGAAGAAUAAUUAGUGGCAGAGCUAGAACCAAAAUUCAAGUCUCAAAAUAUCCACUCCAAAACUCUGUAUGAGACAUUAUGCAGGCCACUUCAACUUGAUAUAUUAUGUAUGGUGGCAUAAUGGUUUUUCUAAAUAGGUUGAACAAAGCCUUUAUAUGGAUUGACAUUAUUUGAGAGAAGACAGAAAGGAUCACAGCAGGUUCAGAUGAAAAAGUGAUAGGUGUUAUCAUCUAAAUCUGAUACAUCUCAGUAUGAGAUAUACAGAUGACAGCAACCAAUACUCCAAAAUAUUUAUGAUAUGUGAAAAAGUAGAUGCAGCCUAGAAAAAGUACAAAAGUAUAUGGUGGGUGAUUAUUAAUUAUAAUUAAAAAUUCCAGUUAUUGCCACUCUUCUCAGUAAUUUGAUUUUACUCUGUGUUCCUGACUGGAUAAUUUGUCUUGCCUGCAUCAGUUCUUUUGUUGAAUGAUUAUCAUAAUUAUAUGUGUGCAUAAUUUUUCUUGAAAGUAUAAGGACUCUGGUUUUUUCUUGUUAAUUUAUAGUUUAAUAAUAAUAGCAACAACAAAAAAUAGCAAAUACUUAUAGGGUGUUAAAUAUAUGCCUGCUACAAAUUUGCACUAUAUAACACUUUAUGUAUUUUUCACUCCUUUAAAUACUUUAGACAUUUCUAAAUGACAUGACAUAUUUUAGCUCCUUUAAUUGUCACAAAACUUUUAGGUUUGGUGCUUUUACUAUUUCCAUUUUACAGAUGAGUAAACCAAGGACGAUAUACUAAGGUGUGGAGUAGAAUAAACUCUGAGAGAAUAUUCUUAAUCACCUUUAAAAUAUGUAAGAUUAGCUUUAAAUAAAAGGUUUGACACAUUAGCCAAAAUUGAGAGGAAAGGUUGCAUUCCAAACUAAUAGUUUCUGCUGAUAUUGGCAGGAUUUUUGCUGCUCCAGUAGUUUCUGUUUAAUGAGCAAAUUGCUUUAAGUACUCAUAUGCCACUGUGGCACUAAGAAUAAAGAUAUUUAGUCAAUUUGUCUCUUAUUUGUGAUAAUUCCAGUGUUUGUACAAUAGCACUCUGAAUUUAACAUGAAAAUAUAUAACACUUAAGAAAGUAAUAUUAUAAACUUAAAAAAUAAUGCAUAAAGAGAGCAAUAAAAUGAGUGAUUUCUUAAACACAGAAGUAUCCAUUAUGAUGUUAUGAAAACAAUGAUUAAUAAUCUAUUUUAUCGAUUUGAGAGCUCAUCAGUAAGUAGAUUUUCAGACAACACGCAGCAAUAAAUACCAAAUAUACAUGCAUAAGGAUUUUAAUGAGUAUCCAUAGCCUGAUAUAGCAAUCCCCUUUUUUCAGGGAGUUAUAUCUGGUAGAGAAUGUCCUCUGAAACAGUCAGCUCCAUGCAUGAAAAUGCAAAAAUGCUUCUCUAUGUCACUCAUUAUUUUAUGUCAUAUUGCUUUUUCUUCUCCCCUUUGUCUUGAUGAAUUUGAUCAGUCCUCCAAAACCCAGUUUAAUUAUCUCAUCUCUGAAGUUUUCCUACAGUUUAAUUUCUUUCUCCUAUGACUUUUCCACAGUACUGAGGUGUAUACACAUCUAACACUCAGUUACAUGGUCUUUGUGAUAUUAAUUAUUGAUUCUAAAUACUAGACUAUGUGUGUAUUAAGUAACACACAUCUUGAGGGUGGUGUCUCUCUGUCUUAGGUUUCUUUAACUCCUCAGCACUUACCAAACAGCCACAGGUAGGACAUUCUCAGGAGUAAUCUGAUCCUUUUGUCCACUUAAAAAAAGGUGGGGGGGAGCAUAUUGCAUUUCAAUCUAUAAUAGUGAUUUAGUAGGCUCCUGAAGCCAUUUCCUUCCAGACACACCAAAUCUUCAGCUGCACUUACAGCAAUUCCUUCUGAAAAAAAUCUGAAAACUAGCUGAGCAAUUCCUAUACAUCAUGUUAAUGAAAAGAUAACCACAUAGAAACAGGAAAAAACAAAUACACUCUUGGCAUAAAACUUACUCCUAGCACAGCAACAAAAAAUCAUAAGGAAACUAACAACUCUCAGUUUCUUCUUGAUAAGUGAAAGGUUUCCAUACCAUAUCUAGCACCCCAAAUUUUAAGACUUUUACCUGAGGGGUGGGCAACCAAAACACUUAGCUCUGAAAGCCAACAGGACUUAUGUCCAUAAAACCUACAAGAUUAUAACAUUAGUCUUACCAGGACUUGCUGUGGCUGUUUCCCCAGGGAUCAGCUCAAAGGAAGAGGAAAAAAAUCCCUAUGCCCCAGUCUUUCCCCCAAAGAGACCUAUUUGUAGAUUUUAAAAGCUGAGAAUGCCAUCUCCAUAUCCUCCCUCUAGCUUACUCCAGGUAACCAAUAUCUCCCUAGAAGGAGCUUGUACAUACUUGGUAAGUCUAACUAGACUUACCUAGAAAAAAAAGAGACAGGACUCAAGUAAAUAAAAUUACAAAUGAAAGAGGAAAUAUUGUUACAAGUGAUACCAGGCAAAUACAAAAGAUUGCAAGAAUCCACUAUGAAUAAUUGUAUGCCAACAAAAUGGACAAUCUAGAGGAAAUGGAUAAAUUCCUGAAAAUACAAGCCUACCAAGAGUGAAUCAUGAAGAAAUAGAAAACGUAAACAUAAUAAAGGCCAUGUAUGAUAAGCUCACAGUUAACAUCAUAGUUAAUGGUUGGAAACUGAAAACUUUUCCUCUAAGAUCAGAAACAAAACAAGGCUGCCCACUUUCACCACUUCAUUUAACGUAGCCAGAGCA
rnacentral:lncRNA from 1 species